GAUGAACGCUAGCGGCAGGCUUAACACAUGCAAGUCGAGGGGCAGCAUAGUCUUCGGACUGAUGGCGACCGGCGCACGGGUGCGUAACGCGUAUGCAACCUACCUUACACAGGGGGAUAAUCCGGAGAAAUCUGGUCUAAUACCCCAUAACACUAAGAGAGGCAUCUCUUUUGGUUGAAAUUUUCGGAGGUGUAAGAUGGGCAUGCGUACCAUUAGUUAGUUGGAGAGGUAACGGCUCACCAAGGCGACGAUGGUUAGGGGUUCUGAGAGGAAGAUCCCCCACACUGGUACUGAGACACGGACCAGACUCCUACGGGAGGCAGCAGUGAGGAAUAUUGGUCAAUGGGCGGAAGCCUGAACCAGCCAUGCCGCGUGCAGGAAGAAUGUUUUAUGAAUUGUAAACUGCUUUUAUGUGAGGAUAAAUGUUUAUUUGCGAAUAAAUUUGAAGGUAUCACAUGAAUAAGGAUCGGCUAACUCCGUGCCAGCAGCCGCGGUAAUACGGAGGAUUCGAGCGUUAUCCGGAUUUAUUGGGUUUAAAGGGUGCGUAGGCGGCUAAAUAAGUCAGUGGUGAAAUAUGAGGGCUUAACUUUCACAGUGCCAUUGAUACUGUUUAGCUUGAAUGUAAAUGGAGCAGGCGGAAUGAAUCAUGUAGAGGUGACAUUCAUAGAUAUGAUUCAGAACACCGAUCGCGAAGGCAGCUUGCUAAGAUACGAUUGACGCUGAUGCACGAAAGCGUGGGUAUCGAACAGGAUUAGAUACCCUGGUAGUCCACGCUGUAAACGAUGAUAACUCGAUGUUGGCGAUAUAUUGUCAGUAUCUAAGAGAAAUCGAUAAGUAUUCCACCUGGGGAGUACGCCGGCAACGGUGAAACUCAAAGGAAUUGACGGGGGCCCGCACAAGCGGAGGAACAUGUGGUUUAAUUCGAUGAUACGCGAGGAACCUUACCCGGGCUUGAAUUGCAGAGGAAUGUGGUGGAAACAUUACAGCCGUAAGGUCUCUGUGAAGGUGCUGCAUGGUUGUCGUCAGCUCGUGCCGUGAGGUGUCGGCUUAAGUGCCAUAACGAGCGCAACCCUCAUUGAUAGUUACCAUCGGGUAAUGCCGGGGACUCUAUCAAGACUGCCGUCGUAAGAUGUGAGGAAGGUGGGGAUGACGUCAAAUCAGCACGGCCCUUACGUCCGGGGCUACACACGUGUUACAAUGGCAGGUACAGCAGGUUGCUACACAGCGAUGUGAUGCUAAUCCGUAAAACCUGUCUCAGUUCGGAUCGAAGUCUGCAACCCGACUUCGUGAAGCUGGAUUCGCUAGUAAUCGCGCAUCAGCCACGGCGCGGUGAAUACGUUCCCGGGCCUUGUACACACCGCCCGUCAAGCCAUGAAAGCCGGGGGUACCUAAAGUACGUAACCGCAAGGAGCGUCCUAGGGUAAAACUAGUAACUGGGGCU
rnacentral:rRNA from 1 species